rnacentral:rRNA from 1 species
CAGAAACUACAAAGGAAGUUGACGGGGCCCGCACAAGCGGUGGAGCAUGUGGUUAAUUCGAAGCAACGCGAAGAACCUUACCAGGCCUUGACAUGCAGAGAACUUUCCAGAGAUGGAUUGGUGCCUUCGGGAACUCUGACACAGGUGCUGCAUGGCUGUCGUCAGCUCGUGUCGUGAGAUGUUGGGUUAAGUCCCGUAACGAGCGCAACCCUUGUCCUUAGUUACCAGCACGUUAUGGUGGGCACUCUAAGGAGACUGCCGGUGACAAACCGGAGGAAGGUAGGGAUGACGUCAAGUCAUCAUGGCCCUUACGGCCUGGGCUACACACGUGCUACAAUGGUCGGUACAAAGGGUUGCCAAGCCGCGAGGUGGAGCUAAUCCCAUAAAACCGAUCGUAGUCCGGAUCGCAGUCUGCAACUCGACUGCGUGAAGUCGGAAUCGCUAGUAAUCGUGAAUCAGAAUGUCACGGUGAAUACGUUCCCGGGCCUU